rnacentral:rRNA from 1 species
CCAAUAGCGUAUAUUAAAGUUGUUGCAGUUAAAAAGCUCGUAGUUGAACUUCGGGGUUCACCCAUUGGUCAGGCUUAAUUGUCUGUACUGGUGAGAUGAAUCUCUACCUUCUGAGGAACUUUCAUGCCAUUCGUUUGGUGUGAUGGGAAAUCAGGACUGUUACUUUGAAAAAGUUAGAGUGUUUAAAGCAGGCUAACGUCUGAAUACAUUAGCAUGGAAUAAUGAAAUAGGACGGAUUGGUUCUAUUUCGUUGGUUUCUAGGAUCACCGUAAUGAUUAAUAGGGAUAGUUGGGGGCAUUAGUAUUCAAUUGUCAGAGGUGAAAUUCUUGGAUUUAUUGAAGACUAACUACUGCGAAAGCAUUUGCCAAGGAUGUUUUCAUUAAUCAAGAACGAAAGUUAGGGGAUCGAAGACGAUCAGAUACCGUCGUAGUCUUAACCAUAAACUAUGCCGACUAGGGAUCGGACGAAGCUAAUUUUAUAAUGACGCGUUCGGCACCUCACG